AAUGAUAUAUGCUUGAAUGGGUCCAGUAGAUUAUGCCUGAACUGCAGGACACACUGCCACUAUUUAGUUGGGCGUGCUGGAAGUAUUCGUGUAGAACUGGGCACUGCUUCUAAUCAUUUCAUUAGAAGAAUGGUUUCAAAAUGCUUGUUUUCAGUGAUGUCCAAUAUAAAUAUUCCCUGUUUGGAAGUUGAGAGCACUUGCAGACAGACCAGUCCUGUGAAGUCCCUUUAGCUCUACACGACCUUCAUCAAUUUCUUUGAAUCCUUGAGCUGUUCCUCAGUUGGGCUGAUAGUCACUGUGAAGAUGCAUUGCAGCUUACAACAGAACUGUAUUGCAAGGGGAAAUCCUCUUAGAAUUUGUUGUUCACCUGGAUCAAAGCUCAGCUGUCAGUAUGUAUGGCAAUUACUGUUUUGUCCUGAACUUCACUUUUCCAGUGUUUAAACUGAAACAUAACAAUCCACACUACAAGCUUUAUAAAUAUUAACACAUUUAUAUAUGGCACUCUCUGAUUUGUCACAUAGCUUUGUCCUCCUUUCAAGAACCUCUCUAUUGGGCUAAUCAAGACAAACUGCAUGGUUUGCUACUGUGUACAGCUUUUUGUGGAUGGCAGACAUUACUGUCUUCUACAAAAGAAUACACACCAUAGAAACAUCCCUGUUCCAUUUUGCAUGUAUAAAACAUGGCGAUGUCCUAUCUUCAAACUUCCCAUCUAAAUUAAUUACAAACUGACCUUAAGUAAUGAGGGAGCAAGUCCUCUUAGAGUAACUUUAAUGCUUUAUAUUUUUUCAUGUUCUAAAGGGCACAGUCAUAUUGCUACAGUUAAGCAUCUGUCAGCAUUACAGUUUUAAAACCUUUAGAGAGAAAGGGGGGCUUGUGGUACAAGUAUCAGCAUUUUCUGGGAUAUGAAAACUGACAUCUGUUAUUUCAGCUAGGGAUUCUUUCAUAUGCAUAUAUUAAAUUACCUAUUUUUUCCC